rnacentral:rRNA from 1 species
CAUGUAGGCGGAUUAAUAAGUUUGAAGUGAAAUCCUAUAGCUUAACUAUAGAACUGCUUUGAAAACUGUUAAUCUAGAAUGUGGGAGAGGUAGAUGGAAUUUCUGGUGUAGGGGUAAAAUCUGUAGAGAUCAGAAGGAAUACCGAUUGCGAAGGCGAUCUACUGGAACAUUAUUGACGCUGAGAUGCGAAAGCGUGGGGAGCAAACA